rnacentral:rRNA from 1 species
AACGAACGCUGGCGGCAUGCCUAACACAUGCAAGUCGAACGAGAUCCUUCGGGGUCUAGUGGCGGACGGGUGAGUAACGCGUGGGGACCUGCCCAGGGGUACGGAAUAACUACGGGAAACUGUAGCUAAUACUGUAUGAUGCCGAAAGGCCAAAGAUUUAUCGCCCUUGGAUGGACCCGCGUUGGAUUAGCUAGUUGGUGAGGUAAUGGCUCACCAAGGCGACGAUCCAUAGCUGGUUUGAGAAGAUGAUCAGCCACACUGGGACUGAGACACGGCCCAGACUCCUACGGGAGGCAGCAGUGGGGAAUAUUGGACAAUGGGGGCAACCCUGAUCCAGCAAUGCCGCGUGAGUGAAGAAGGCCUUAGGGUUGUAAAGCUCUUUCAGAUGGGAAGAUAAUGACGGUACCAUCAGAAGAAGCCCCGGCUAACUCCGUGCCAGCAGCCGCGGUAAU